rnacentral:rRNA from 1 species
UACGAAGGGGGCUAGCGUUGUUCGGAAUUACUGGGCGUAAGGCGCGUGUAGGUGGUUGUCCUAGUCAGGCGUGAAAGCCUUGAGCUCAACUCAAGAAAUGCGCUUGAUACUGGGCAGCUAGAGGACCGGAGAGGAUAGUGGAAUUCCCAGUGUAGUGGUGAAAUACGUAGAGAUUGGGAAGAACACCAGUGGCGAAGGCGGCUAUCUGGACGGUUUCUGACACUAAGACUCGAAAGCGUGGGGAGCAAACAGG